AGAACGAACGCUGGCGGCAUGCCUAAUACAUGCAAGUCGAACGAACACUUCGGUGUUAGUGGCGCACGGGUGCGUAACGCGUGGGAAUCUGCCCUUGGGUUCGGAAUAACAGUUGGAAACGACUGCUAAUACCGGAUGAUGACGAAAGUCCAAAGAUUUAUCGCCCAGGGAUGAGCCCGCGUAGGAUUAGCUAGUUGGUGAGGUAAAGGCUCACCAAGGCGACGAUCCUUAGCUGGUCUGAGAGGAUGAUCAGCCACACUGGGACUGAGACACGGCCCAGACUCCUACGGGAGGCAGCAGUAGGGAAUAUUGGACAAUGGGCGCAAGCCUGAUCCAGCAAUGCCGCGUGAGUGAUGAAGGCCUUAGGGUUGUAAAGCUCUUUUACCCGAGAUGAUAAUGACAGUAUCGGAGAAUAAGCCCCGGACUAACUCCGUGCCAGCAAGCCGC
rnacentral:rRNA from 1 species